AAAAUGGGACUCAUGGGAACCCCUGAUAAAAUUUUUUUUCAGAGGAUGGGGGAGGAGGUUAGGAGGGACUCCUGGGCAGAGGUGAUAAACGGCGACAUCUUGGCAGAGCCAAAGCCAUUAAAGCCUCUGAACAAGUAACCGGUGCUAAGAAAGCAAUCAUACCUUUGGGAGACCGAGUGACACAUCACAAGUCAGUUGCAGGAAGAUGGUGGCCACAACUUUCAGCUGAUCUCUUUCCAAGAGGUGCCCUGGGCCAACAAGAACCACCUCACCUAAGAUCACAGCUACCUCCUGGGCCAGUCCAUACCCAACGAAUGGCUGAUGCAGAGGAGGACUAUCUAAGAAUUUCAAGGACCAGGAAAAUUUCAUGAUGGAUCAAGCCUAAGGUUUUGUGAAUAAGAGAUGCUGGUUCCUGCCCGUCAUGAGGCCCUGCUGCAUAUCCUGACCUUCGAAUGUAUUAAAUGGUACGAGUUUAUCAUAAAUGACUUUCCUUUUGCUUAAGUCAUAUUGAGAGCCUAUUAAGAUACUCCUAAAACUAAGAGCCUAUUAAGAUACUCCUGAUUAGUACCCUGAAUGUACCAUUCUGUUUCAUAUCUAUAUGCUUUGUUCCUUCUGAUAGUACAUUUAAACCUCUCUCCUGAGAACCUAGCAGAUACACAGACACCUGAAUGCUCUUGUUGAUAUUAAUAUAACUUCAGCAGAUGUGCGAAUGAUUAGUUGAGAUGGGCAACAAAAAUAGGCCAUUUCAAGUUAAUUUCAUAAAAAUGUAAAAGGCCUAAAGUGUCAUGGCUGGGACAAAGUGGAGAGAUUAGAAAGAGUAUUAAGUAGCAGAAAGUCAGGAGUUGGUUGACCAACUAAAGAUGUACCUGAAGAGAAGUGGAGACUAAAAUGACUCCUAGUUUCUGGCAUGAGCAACUAACUGAAUGGAUGGCAGAGGCAUUCACGAAAAUUAGUUGAAGUCAUAAAUCUGGAUAAGAUGACCCUACCCAACUUGCUUAUACUACCCAUCUUUUUGAAGACCCAGCACAAUCAUUCAAUCCUCUGUAACUCUUUCCUGAACCCCCAGGGUAAGUGUAUGGUGCUUCUUCCUCUGAAUGGUGACAGCACUGUGUGCUUUUCUCCUACCAACUUCCUAUUACUACUGGAUCAUUGUAACUUGUGUACAUGGCUUUGCUCACUCGAGAAAAUAAGCUCCUUAAAGGCAGGAUCUACAGUUAACAUUUGUGAACUAUCUAGUGUCUAAUACUGUGCUAAAAAUUAAUUAGUAUAAUCCAAAUCUCUCCAAAAUUAUAAGUCAAAUAAAAUAGAAUAAAUAAUAGUUCUAAAAUUAAAAGGAUCUUAAGGGUCUUUACCAAAUCUAAUAUGGCAAGUAAAAUGGAAGAAUUCAAGCAAAAAUUUUGAUUACUUACUGACAUUUUCAGGUAUUUCAAACCAACAUUUACUGAUCAAUUCAGCCUACUAAGGCAUGUUACAAUAUAGUUUCACUACCCAAACUACAUAAAUGGAAAAAUAAAAAAAUUCUAAGACC